UAUGAUCGGAUAUUUAUUUCAUUCAAAUUUUUCUAACAUGAGAAAAAGAUUGGAUGUGCAUUAAGACGGAUAUAUAUAUAUAUAUAUAUUCACCAUUUAUAGUAUUAUAAUACUGUGUGUAUAUAUACAUACAUACCAAACACACGCACACGCACACACUUGUUGUACAAGGUGUUACGACGAAUAAGACGUACAUAUGUUAUAAUAUAUAUGUCGGCCAAUAUUAUAUUCGGUUAUGGCGGUUACAGCGGUAGCAACGUUAGCCGCACACAACUCUCCGUACAGAUCAAUACUCGAGGUAGGGCCCCCCACGACUCUUCUUCCUUUUCAGCCUAUCUCUCUGUCCUGUAUGUACAUACAUAUAUACGUACUAUACUUAUAACAGACGUAUACAUACGACGCUGACGAAUAUAUAUCAAAAUUUUAUUUAUAUAUAUCUCAAUGUUUUCCCUUUUUCUACGAACAAGAAAAGUUGUUCUUAAAAAAAAAAAAAAAAAAAAAAAAAAAAAACCCUCAAAUAAAUGCAAUAUAUAUUUUUAUAGUCCUCGUUCCAUUGUUAAUUAUGUGACUAAGAAGCACUUUCCCUUUCCUCCUUUUUCUCCCUUGGCCACGUCCUUUGAAUCAUUCUUUUAAGGAUCAUUCAUGGCUCUAUGAAAUAUUUGUCUCAUAAUAAAAUAAUUAUUAAGACGAAAUACAACGAAACUGUAUAAUAUUUUCAUUAAUACUUGUUCUCAUCAAUUUUUUUUUUCUCGAGAAAGGCAGAGAGAAAGAGAGAAAAAAAAAUUUCUAUGAUCAACAUUGCACUUAAAAAAUUUAGAUUAUGAUUUCGUCAUUACACACCAUCGUGUUUUCUAUUUGGUAAAGUUCAUUAUUUACAUAUAACACGUAUAAAUAAUUCGUUCUAGCAAAACCGACUGAAAUGAAUCACGCAUGAAUGCGUAUACGUUAUGAUUGACCCGCAUAGUCAAACCGGGACAGAUAAUGUUAUAUAUCGUGAUAGAAAGCGUUACGUAUAUAUACCGCUUCUUACAACGUAUAGUCAUUCGAUCCUUAGUCAUCAUGAUAUUAUAGCUUAUAGGCAUAUAUGGGGUGGGCCAAACGUUUCUAAGCUUGUAGUUUUACAAUUUGAAAGUAAGGAAAAAAGGGAAAAAAAAAAAAAGAAACAAAAGAUUAAUCUAAAAAGUGGUUGCAAAAAGAGUAAUCGAUUUUUAAAAAUAACCUAGGAACUUUGAAUCCAUCAUGUUUACAAAGAUUUAUAAUAUUAUUAUUUAAAAUUAUAUGAUUCAUUGAUUAACGAAUAGAUAUUGGAAAAGAAAAUGUAACGUUUUUUAAUAUCAUUUAUAUAAAUGUUGUUUUCUAACAAGUGCAGUUUUAUAAUUUAGGUUCUGGAAUAUACAUGAAGUUAGUUGAGAAUUCAAAGGUUUAAAGACGAACGUUUCAUACUCAUCUACAUUGCAUACAUAUAUAUGUACACGAUACGUAACGAUACAGCAUGAAGCAUCUCAUUAGAAAUAUUUCGAAGAAUUUUUUCUUUUAUUAUUAUUAUUAUUAUUAUUAUUAUUAUUAUUAUUAUUAUUAUUAUUAUUAUUAUUUUUCUUAAUUUUUGAUCCUAAAUGAUUUAUGCACGUUGAAUCUAUGAUUUUAUAGAUCAAACGUAAUUUUUAUUUUGCAAAUGUAUACAUUUAUUAUCUAUUUAUUUAUUUUUUUCUUUUAGUAUUGAAAUUAAACAAUUUCAUUUAAUUAUUACAGCUUUAUUCAGUUAGGAAAUAUUAAUGUGACAUUAAUAUAUUAUGCGUAAGUAUAGGGACAAGGUACAUCAAGUCUCUUUUUUACACGAUGGGCGUGUACGGCGCAAAAAGAAAUAUUCGUAUAAAAAAAUUGAUUUAUAAAAAAUAAUAUAAAAUUUAUAUACUAUAAAUAUAACAAAUUAUAAAAAUAGCAAUCUAAAAUAUAGAAAUAUAUUAAUUAAGAACAUUUUAUUUAAUAAACACAUAAAAGAAUAAUUAAUCUGUUGAGAAAAAUAAAAAGAAAAAAAAAAAAAAGAAAGAAAGAAAUUAAAAAAGAAAAUUAUGCAAAAUUUUCGUGACAUUUUCUGGGAGCUAAUUAGUGUGCAUUUUUACAAUCGUGUAAAAGUAAAUAAAACGCGUUUAAAAAAAUAAAAAAAAAAAAAAAAAACGUAUAAAAAGAUCACUUUUAUUUAUUUGAUUAAUAUUUUGGUUAAUUAAUGACAAGUGUUUUGUUAAAUAAAUGAUUAAAUAUAUAUGAAUAUUUUCGUUUAUUAUUUAUAAUAAAAGAUCAAUACGUAAUAUAAUUGGUCAGUCCAGAUUUUAAGUAAUUGCCAAAGUUGCGUCUGGGUUUAUUAUAAAUACCGAUCGUUUAUUUAAAAUACAAGAUUAAAAAUGAUUAAAAGUACUGAUCGAAUAAAUAACAAUGAUGAAAACAAAUACCGUGUAAAAGAAGACCCAAGUACACACACACACAAACACAUUAACGAAAUAAAAUAAAUUAAUUUUUGAGGUUAGAAAGAAUAUUUUUAAGAAACAUUGCAGAAUAGAAGGUGAUAUCGGGCGCCGCCCGCGUCUUUUAAAGCGGAUGAAACGUUAGCGUUAACAGAGUAAAAUACAUACUUCGUUCCUUCCAACGUAUUGUAACGAGUCUGAGUUUUUUUUUCUUUUUUUAUAAAAUUCAUAUGUCGGCUCUCUUCGUUUCGAUUUAUAAAAAAUACCAAGAGCAAUAGGAAUUCAAUUAUUCGAUUCAAUUCAAUGAUAGUAACAAUGCAUCGAGAUAAAUGCAUCGAUAAAAGCUGAACGCAAACUUUUCAGUAAUACAUAUGUAUAUAGUAUAUGCAUGUAUGUAUGUACAUGGCUGGUAUUAUUUUUACAAAGAUGAUUGUUAAAAACGGAAAUACAGAAUUUAUAUCAUUUUCUUCUUAAAGAAUGUACAUACUAUUGUUGAAAAUAUCGAUAUAUUAUUCAACAUUUUUAUUAAUUUUAAAAAUAAGGACAUUCUCCAUCAUUUUUAUCGAUAUGUAUUUUCGAUAUUCUUAUCAAAAGGAUAUUUUUCUCAAAAUUGGUCGAAAGUUUUUUCUACGUAAUUUUUAAUAAUAAAUCACUCUCUUUCGAGACUUUUUAAGUUAUUUCUUUUUUCCUCGGAUUAUAAAACCACAAGUCUAACUUGUAAAAAAAAAAAAAAAAAAAAAAAAAGUCUAAAAUGUCUUGAAAAAGAUUAAUUGAUUCUUAAAAUCACUUAAGACUUUUGCUCCAUUCUGUAUUUUGUUCGAAUAUUCGAAAAAAAAUGAAGAAAGAACGAAUAAAAAAUUAUUUAUUUUUAUAAAUAUUACAUUAUUUAUCGAUAGUAAUUAUGUGCACAUAUCGAAUAAUCGUUUGAUCUUUCUAUGAAUCAGAGAAAAUCGAUGAUAAAAACAAAAUAAUCGAACGACCUCUCUCCUCUCCUAUGUUGUUCUAUCCUCUUUAAAGACCGGUACUGUGUACUUGUUUUUCACGUAUGUAAAUAUCCGUCUCGUCUUUUUCGUUUGCUAUCAGCGAAUUAUUACGACUCUUUUAAAAUCAGUUUCAUGCGUCUACAUAUCGAAUGUGUUCGUUCCAAUCUCAUGAUUUAUAAUCGAUUACAUCUAUUAUUUCUUUGUUUUUCGUGUAAAAAAAAAAAAAAAAAAAAAAAAAGAAGAAGAUCAUACAGAGCUAUAUAGAAAUUCUAUGGAAACGCAUUGAAUUCUAUGAAAACGCUUUAUAUACUUGAGCUUUAAUAUAGUGAAAUUCUUUAAGCGUCGAUUUAAGGGGCAACAGUAGAGCAGAGACACGUUCGAAACACAAAUACGGAAAUGUCGAGUAGUGCGCAAACUCGUGGGAUCAACCUAUUGCGAUUGAUACGUGAUGGUGGGAGGUAGAUUCGGGGAAGGGAUGAUCAGAGAUAGUCGGAGGGGAGAAAGGCGAGCCAAUCAUCGACAGGACGAUACAACAUGGCCACCAGUUUGCAUAGGGCCGUGCUUGGGUGAACGUCGAGCACGUCGUGUAGGCAAUUUUCGUCGAUUAAACGACAGAUGUCGCAACGUGCGCUUUAACUCGCCCGAAGUUGAGUUUAACAACGACGACGACGGACAACGACAAUUGCGGCGUGACGGUUGUGUUUCUCUCGUGUUGAUUUUUCGUUCGCGAAACAAGAAGAAAACUCUUUCGUGAUUCGUGGUGAAAGACGGUGGGGAGAGGAAAAAAAAAGAAUAGAAUAGAAUAGCAGCCAAGAAGAGCGGAAUUUGAGAAUUUGAUUAAUAAUUGAGAAAAUGGGAAGAAAGUCGAUACGUAAUAUCAGACCGAAAUUGAUUCGAAUUGUCGAAGACGCGCGAGAAUGAUGAUCCAUUUGGAUGAAAU